rnacentral:rRNA from 1 species
AAUGCCCUACGGGAGGCAGCAGUGAGGAAUAUUGGUCAAUGGUCGGGAGACUGAACCAGCCAAGCCGCGUGAGGGAGGAAGGUACAGAGUAUCGUAAACCUCUUUUGUCAGGGAACAAAGACUGGGACGCGUCCCCGGAUGAGUGUACCUGAAGAAAAAGCAUCGGCUAACUCCGUGCCAGCAGCCGCGGUAAUACGGAGGAUGCGAGCGUUAUCCGGAUUUAUUGGGUUUAAAGGGUGCGCAGGCGGUCUGUUAAGUCAGCGGUCAAAGCCCGGGGCUCAACCCCGGCCCGCCGUUGAAACUGG